UAAUAGAGAAGGUGCCAGAAAGAUCCAAAACAAGUGGCUGCGGCCGUCGCCCGGGAGUCACCGGACGCCAGAAUCUGUGUCUCCAGAACGCUAUAGCUAUGGCACCUCCAGCUCUUCAAAGAGGACAGAGGGUAGCUGCCGUCGCCGUCGGCAGUCAAGCAGUUCUGCAAAUUCUCAGCAGGGCUCCGCCCCAACCAAGCGGCAGCGACGGAGUCGGGGCCGGCCCAGUGGUGGUGCGAGACGGCGGCGGAGAGGGGCCCCAGCCGCACCCCAGCAGCAGCCAGAGCCCGCCAGACCUUCCUCUGAAGGCAAAGUGACCUGUGACAUCCGGCUCCGGGUUCGAGCAGAGUACUGCGAGCAUGGGCCAGCCUUGGAGCAGGGCGUGGCAUCCCGGCGGCCCCAGGCGCUGGCGCGGCAGCUGGACGUGUUUGGGCAGGCCACCGCAGUGCUGCGCUCAAGGGACCUGGGCUCCGUGGUUUGUGACAUCAAGUUCUCAGAGCUCUCCUAUCUGGACGCCUUCUGGGGCGACUACCUGAGUGGCGCCCUGCUG
rnacentral:sRNA from 1 species